rnacentral:rRNA from 1 species
GAACGCUGGCGGCGUGCUUAACACAUGCAAGUCGAACGAGAAAGCACCUUCGGGUGUGAUUAGAGUGGCGCACGGGUGAGUAACACGUGGGUAAUCUACCCUUAAGUUUGGGAUAACCUGUCGAAAGAUGGGCUAAUACCGGAUAAUAUCCAUUGAUGUCAGGUUGAUGGAUCAAAGGUUUACUGCUUAGGGAUGAGCCCGCGGCUGAUUAGCUAGUUGGUAGGGUAACGGCCUACCAAGGCGACGAUCAGUAGCUGGUCUGAGAGGACGAUCAGCCACACUGGGACUGAGACACGGCCCAGACUCCUACGGGAGGCAGCAGCAGGGAAUUUUGCACAAUGGGCGCAAGCCUGAUGCAGCGACGCCGCGUGGGGGAUGAAUGCCUUCGGGUUGUAAACCCCUUUCAGGAGGGACGAAGCGAAAGUGACGGUACCUCCAGAAGAAGCCCCGGCCAACUACGUGCCAGCAGCCGCGGUAAUACGUAGGGGGCGAGCGUUGUCCGGAUUUAUUGGGCGUAAAGAGCUCGUAGGCGGCUCAGCAAGUCGGCCGUGAAAGCCUGAGGCUCAACCUCAGGACGCCGGUCGAAACUGCUGUGGCUAGGGUCCGGUAGAGGAGAGUGGAAUUCCCGGUGUAGCGGUGAAAUGCGCAGAUAUCGGGAGGAACACCAGUAGCGAAGGCGGCUCUCUGGGCCGGCACCGACGCUGAGGAGCGAAAGCUAGGGGAGCAAACAGGAUUAGAUACCCUGGUAGUCCUAGCCGUAAACGUUGG